rnacentral:tRNA from 1 species
ACUAGUUUAGCAAAAAAUAAUGUAUCAAUUUUAGAAUUUGAAGAUGGUUCUCCAAUUAGUA